rnacentral:rRNA from 1 species
ACGUUGAGAGAGAGUUAAGAGCACGUGAAAUCGGUAAGGUGGAAACGGAUAGAGUUGACGUAUCCGGCACGUAUUCAGCUGUUGCUUAUAUUUGUCGACGGUCAGUUGAUGUCGAUGGUGGUUCGCCGCCCGUUGGCGUUAGCUGAUUGUUGUUCGAGUGUGAGUGAUGGUGCAUUUACGGGCCAAUGUGCGCUGGGACGUGCGCGCUGGUUGUUUGCGGUUUAGGUAAGAGGAUGCGCACUUCGGUGAGUAAAACCAGACCUUUUCUUGUGGACAAUUCGGUGUGCGCGUUAAAUGAGGGCGAGGCUUACGGGCGCAAUAGCUUAUUGUUUUUGUGAGGCAUGGCGGUCGCAUGCGACACGUGUGCUUUGUGAAUUCGGUAGCUGUAGUGUUCUCUCGUCCAUUCCCGGUGUAAGAGUCAAUCAUCUAUCCGACCCGUCUUGAAACACGGACCAAGGAGUUUAACGUAUGCGCGAGUUAUUGGGUGUUUAAAACCUAUUAGCGUAAUGAAAGUGAAUGCGUCCUCGAGAUGCUUAUAUGCGAUCCAAUGCACUUCGGUGUGUAGGCGCAGCAUAGCCCCGUUCUCGUCGCUUGCGAUGGAGCGGAGGAAGAGCGUAUGCGUUGAGACCCGAAAGAUGGUGAACUAUGCUUGAGCAGGACGAAGUCAGAGGAAACUCUGAUGGAAGUCCGAAUCGGUUCUGACGUGCAAAUCGAUCGUCUGACUUGGGUAUAGGGGCGAAAGACUAAUCGAACUAUCUAGAUGGGGUCUCCUCUCUCCAAGAAAAAGGU